AUUGAAAUACUGGUUCCUGUACAAUCGCUGAAGUUAAGCAACAUUGAUCCUGGUCAGUACCUAGCUGGGUGAUUGCUUGGGAAUACCAGGUACUGUAAG